rnacentral:rRNA from 1 species
AUUGAACGCUGGCGGCAGGCCUAACACAUGCAAGUCGAGCGAGAAAGCACCUCGGUGUGAGUACAGCGGCGGACGGGUGAGUAACGCGUAAGAAUCUACCUGAUAGUGGGGGACAACUCGGGGAAACUCGAGCUAAUACCGCAUACGCCCUACGGGGGAAAGCGGGGGACCUUCGGGCCUCGCGCUAUCAGAUGAGCUUGCGUUGGAUUAGCUAGUUGGUGGGGUAAAGGCCUACCAAGGCUACGAUCCAUAGCUGGUCUGAGAGGAUGAUCAGCCACACCGGGACUGAGACACGGCCCGGACUCCUACGGGAGGCAGCAGUGGGGAAUAUUGCGCAAUGGGCGAAAGCCUGACGCAGCCAUGCCGCGUGUGUGAAGAAGGCCUUAGGGUUGUAAAGCACUUUCAAUUGGGAGGAAAAGCUAACGAUUAAUACUCGUUAGCCCUGACGUUACCUUUAGAAGAAGCACCGGCUAACUCCG